CAUUUAAAAAAAAAAAAAAACUAUUUGGCUUUGAUUGGAGAGAUUCAAAUAUCACAUAUUUGGGCAUCAUCAUUCUAUGCAAGAGUCUGUCUAGUAUGUAUGCAAAUAACUUGGGUAAAGUUUGGGCCGCAUUUAGAGAUGACUUAGAAAGAUGGUGUAGUUUAGACAUUUAAUUGUUUGGAAGAAAAAAUUCAGUCAAAAUGAAUAUAGUACCAAAAAUUCUAUUCUUUAUUAGAGCAAUUCCUCUCACCAUUCGACUAUGUUUCUUUAGAAAAUUUCACUCUGCUCUUUUGACAUUCAUUUGGAAUAGGAAACCGGCAGGAAUCAAGUUAUUCGUAUUGCAAAAUCCUAGAAUUGGAGGAGGUAUGGGCUUGACAUGGAGGCAAUAAAAUUUCUCCCACAUUCAAUUAAUAGCCUAAUUUAGCUUCCUCCAUCUCAGACCAAAUUUCAUUAACAUGUUUCCAACAACCAAGAUUACAAUAAAAGCAUGGGACAUCUUGUCUAAAUAAAUAAACCCCCCAAAAUUUGGUCUAAAGCAGCUCCUAUUUCCAUCUUGAAAAAAGACAUCCCAGAAUUAAACAUUGAUUAUUGGACUUCACAUUCUAUUUUCCGUAUAACUGAUUUUCUUAGGUCAGAAAACGUACCCCAUUCAUGCAAUUAAAUGACACAUUUAAUUUAACCGACUCUGAGAGCCCCACACAUGACAGAACAAGUUAAUUGCUCAAAAUGAAAUGUGCCCUUUCAGAAAACAAUUCAUAUCAAUGUUCAUCUGAAUUAUCAAAUUUAAAAAAUAUAUACAAUUCAGAUCCCACCAAAAGAAGGACUAUUUCAAUUUGCUACUCAUAUUUAAUUAACAUCCAAAAAUUUGAUUUAAUGUUUGCUUGGGAAAAAAGAGUUGAAAAAAAUCCUGAAUAUUACAGACUGGUUUGCAUGUGCGGCGGCGCUGAGGGUCAUUACACGAUAUGUGGCAUGUUUAGAGUCACACUACAAAAUCAUUCAUCGUUGGUAUCUCACACCUGAUGGAUUACAUAAUUUAAAUUAACUAAUGUUGGAGGGGGCUUGGACAAGUGAGCUCAUUGUAUCACAUACUGUAGAUGUGUCCCAAGGUGGGCGCACAUUGGAAAUCGGUCCACAAAUAAAUAUAUACAAUCACAGAUUUAAUCCCCUAGUUGACCACACGAAAUUUGUCUAUUUCAAAUCACCUUCCAAAACGACAAAAACAAUAUUAGGUCAUAUUUCAAUGCAGCAACUACAACCAUAACCAGAUAUUGGAAAACUAG